CCUACGGGUGGCAGCAGUGGGGAAUAUUGGGCAAUGGGCGCAAGCCUGAUCCAGCAACGCCGCGUGAAGGAAGAAGGCUUUCGGGUUGUAAACUUCUUUUGUCAGGGACGAAGCAAGUGACGGUACCUGACGAAUAAGCCACGGCUAACUACGGACCAGCAGCCGCGGUAAUACGUAGGUGGCAAGCGUUAUCCGGAGUUACUGGGUGUAAGGGGCGUGUAGGCGGGGCUGCAAGUCAGAUGUGAAAACCACGGGCUCAACCUGUGGCCUGCAUUUGAAACUGUAGUUCUUGAGUACUGGAGAGGCAGACGGAAUUCCUAGUGUAGCGGUGAAAUGCGUAGAUAUUAAGAGGAACACCAGUGGCGAAGGCGGUCUGCUGGACAGCAACUGACGCUGAGGCGCGAAAGCGUGGGGAGCGAAAGGGAUUAGAUACCCCAGUAGUC
rnacentral:rRNA from 1 species